rnacentral:rRNA from 1 species
GAUGAACGCUGGCGGCGUGCUUAACACAUGCAAGUCGAGCGAGAAAAGUUCUUCGGAGCUUUUCUAGCGGCGGACGGGUGAGUAACACGUGGGCAACCUGCCUCAUAGAGGGGAAUAGCCUUCCGAAAGGAAGAUUAAUACCGCAUAACAUUGUUGAAAGGCAUCUUUUAACAAUCAAAGGAAUAAUCCGCUAUGAGAUGGGCCCGCAGCGCAUUAGCUAGUUGGUGAGGUAACGGCUCACCAAGGCGACGAUGCGUAGCCGACCUGGGAGGGUGAUCGGCCACAUUGGAACUGAGACACGGUCCAGACUCCUACGGGAGGCAGCAGUGGGGAAUAUUGCACAAUGGGGGAAACCUUGAUGCAGCAACGCCGCGUGAGUGAUGAAGGUCUUCGGAUUGUAAAGCUCUGUCUUUAGGGACGAUAAUGACGGUACCUAAGGAGGAAGCCACGGCUAACUACGUGCCAGCCGCCGCAGUAACAC